GAUCAUUUAAAGAAGCCGAAAGGCUACUUAAAACCAUCGCGAACUCGUCCAAGUUGCUUCGGCGGUGCGGGAGCCCUUCACCGGGCCGCCGCGGCCCUCCGCCCCCGGGAGACCGGAGGUGUGGGGCGCCCGCCGGAGGUACGAAACUCUCAUGUCUUACAGUGGAAUCUCUGAGUACAAAGCAAAUAAGUUAAAACUUUCAGCAACGGAUCUCUUGGUUCUGGCAUCGAUGAAGAACGCAGCGAAAUGCGAUAAGUAAUGUGAAUUGCAGAAUUCAGUGAAUCAUCGAAUCUUUGAACGCACAUUGCGCCCGGCAGUACUCUGCCGGGCAUGCCUGUUCGAGCGUCAUUUCAACCCUCAAGCCCCGCUUGGUGUUGGGGCCCUACGGCUGCCGUAGGCCCUGAAAGGAAGUGGCGGGCUCGCUACAACUCCGAGCGUAGUAACUCACUGUCUCGCUAGGGAGGUUGCGGCGCGCUCCUGCCGUUAAAGACCCCAUCUUUAACCAAGG
rnacentral:misc_RNA from 1 species